rnacentral:lncRNA from 13 species
UGGAGCCCAGAAGCCAAAUAACAUGAGGCUGCUCACUACAACAGAAGUGGAUUUGGCAGCCUCACACUGUUUUAAGGAAGAAAGCUGCCAGAGGCUUGAAAGUCACUUCUCUGAGGCUCCAUAGCCCCCAACCUAGAAGAAAAAAACUAGAAUCCUACACUUUCUGGAAGAUGUUUGGCCUCAAAAUGUCAUAUGCUAAGUCACUUGUCAUUGCUGCCAAAUCAUUCUUUUGUGCAAAAUGCUACAACUCAACAAAAGGUUUCUGCUUUUGCAUUUUCCUCAUUUUCUUCUGCUGCCACCAUAUAAGAAGUGCUUUCACCUCCUGCCAUGAUUCUGAGGCCUCCCCAGCCAUGUGAAACUAACUCACAAACAAACAGUGUGACAGACACACAAGAUCAAGAAAUAUUACAGUGUGGAUGAACUGGAAGGUCUAUGGUGUCAGCGUCCCUGGAGACUAUGGGAACUCUAUUUCUGGGGGAGCCUGACCUCUCAGGGUAAUUUCUUUGUAGGCCGGAAAGAGAUCACUCAGCAUGUAAGUGUAUGGAUUAUUGGUAAAAGAAGAUGUAAUUAAAGUUUGCCUUGUGAGCUGAAGAUCCAGCCUUCAGACUAACAAGUCCUUGCUACAUCAUAGCUCCAAAGCAGAUUUACAAAACAUUUUAAGAUUAUGUUUUUAUUAGUUACUUAUUGGGCUUUAAGGCCUACCUGAGAUCUUCAUGCAACAGAACUAGCCAUCCAAGCUUGAAGUGUUUUGUUUGCCCAGUCUAUUUUUUCAAAACUGAAAAAGGUACCCUUACUUCUGGAAUUUUGUACUUUAUUUGAAACUCUUAUCAUCUAAUUUCUCUCCACCUCCCAAGAUUUCUCUAAUUUAUUAAAACACUGCUAAAUAUGUUGCACAUCCAUUUUUUCAGUCGAUUCUUCCACAUAACUAUGUUUUGACCUUGUAAUAAUUUUAGCUACAAAAAUAGACAUGUAUUUAUGUAAUGUAAAC